rnacentral:rRNA from 1 species
UACGUAGGGUGCAAGCGUUGUCCGGAAUUAUUGGGCGUAAAGAGCUCGUAGGCGGUCUGUCGCGUCUGCUGUGAAAACUCAGGGCUUAACCCUGAGCUUGCAGUGGGUACGGGCAGACUAGAGUGCGGUAGGGGAGGCUGGAAUUCCUGGUGUAGCGGUGGAAUGCGCAGAUAUCAGGAGGAACACCAAUGGCGAAGGCAGAUCUCUGGGCCGUAACUGACGCUGAGGAGCGAAAGCAUGGGGAGCGAACAGG